AGUCUUUGGGUUCACAGCUUGGCUCUACAUUCAUUGCUGGAGGAAUCCAAGCCUCACAAAAGACCGCUUUUAAAGAAAAACUCUAUUUUUCUUAGAAGAACUAGAAUAUGUAACACCAUUGUGAGAAAUAAAACCCCAAGGUGAACAAGAUUGAAAGUGAAGGCAGCGCUCUAAGGAGGAAGCCAGCUGGCUUGAAUGGUGAUGUAAACAGCCUUGGAGCUUUAACCAAACUUGAGUAAGAACUCCCUGACUUGGAAACACUCAAGUUUCCCACACAUGACUGGAUGGCCCUGGCCACACUGGGAACGGAAUGGGGGCCUCCCAUUGGAACUCAGGGUGGAGGGGGAAGCUCGACCAGCUAUUGUGGCCCCCACUUCCAUUGACAAAGAGAAGAGACUUGUACACAGAGAGGCUGGGCAACUUGUACAUGGUUGCACAGAUGUCCAGAGGCAGUGCUGAGAUGUGAACACAGGAAGACUGGAUUCAGCAUCUGUGCUACUAACCAGGACACUAUGAAGUCUCUCAUACCUGUGGUACUAGGAAAAUCAGAGAAAAUUUCAAGGAGGGUGGGGCAUUAGAAGCUGACUAUGGAGGAACCGGUAGGAGUUGGAUGUUUGGAAAUAGAGGGCAGGGCAUUGCAGGUAGAGAAUGGGAGUGUAUUCUGGAUGCCAACACAUCUGUGGCGGUCCUAAGAUCAGGAAUAGAUGGUCUGUAUCUUCAGUAUGACUUAAUGUUUCUGAGUGUAAGACUUAAUCUCCAUUUGAAAAAGGAUAAAAAGAAGGAAAAAAAAUAAAAGCUAUUACGUUUCUG
rnacentral:lncRNA from 1 species